GGGUGGUAAUGCCGGAUGUUCCAGUUGAUCGCAUGGUCUUCUGGGAAASCUUUCGCGGUAUGGGAUGGGGUCGCGUCCUAUCAGCUUGACGGCGGGGUAACGGCCCACCGUGGCUUCGACGGGUAGCCGGCCUGAGAGGGCGACCGGCCACAUUGGGACUGAGAUACGGCCCAGACUCCUACGGGAGGCAGCAGUGGGGAAUAUUGCACAAUGGGCGCAAGCCUGAUGCAGCGACGCCGCGUGAGGGAUGGAGGCCUUCGGGUUGUAAACCUCUUUUAUCGGGGAGCAAGCGUGAGUGAGUUUACCCGUUGAAUAAGCACCGGCUAACUACGUGCCAGCAGCCGCGGUAAUACGUAGGGUGCAAGCGUUAUCCGGAAUUAUUGGGCGUAAAGGGCUCGUAGGCGGUUCGUCGCGUCCGGUGUGAAAGUCCAUCGCUUAACGGUGGAUCCGCGCCGGGUACGGGCGGGCUUGAGUGCGGUAGGGGAGACUGGAAUUCCCGGUGUAACGGUGGAAUCACUAGUGAAU
rnacentral:rRNA from 1 species